CCAUUUAAGACUCAUUUGAAGUAUGUUUGCAUUGUGGAUUUAAGAGGCGUGUUUGCUCACCUCCCAAAAGAGGUGUACUAUUAUAUAUUUAUUCUUUAAAUUUCUAGCAACUACUGUACGUAUAUACAGCCCUCUCUUUGGUUACAUAGACAUCAGGGACCUAUACAUAAUUGUGUUACAGUGUUUCCCUGCCCAUUUGCCUUCUUGUUAUUUAUCUCUUGAAGAAGCCGAAGGACAUCAGCUACCAAAUACAGGCUACCGGCAACUACCAAAGGCCCACUUUCACCACUUUCACCACCACCUUGCUUUGAGACUUCAUCGGCCCACUCCAGCGCGGACACAAUAUCACCCCCAAAGUCCUUCGAUUGCGCUAAUUCACGCGUGCUGUCACUGUCGCUGCCGCUGCUCCUACAACUGCUUACUGCAGAUAGCAGCUCUGCGCUUUCCACACUCCUCACCCACGGCAUCCCAUCAACAGGCCCAAACUGGACAACGGCAACAUUGUCACCAGGCCUGAGCAUGCAGCUGAAUAAUUCUUGAGUGUUCUUGCCCUGCGACGCAGCAAUUACCCAAGUAACACUAACAUUGUUUAUCUUCUCAUGACUGGAUGGAUGUUUUCGAAGGUUGCGGUCUACAUACGAGCAGAGGACACGUGCCGAUUGAGGGUUAUGUGCACCAUCAAGGAGGAUCGGUUGGCUGCGGGAAAUAAGAGGGUUGAGGGAGAGUUCCUGCAAACGGCCUAGUCGUGGCGUUUUAGGGAUGUGUUGGAAUAGGCUUGGCAAUGGUAGAGAUGACGGCAAAAUGCCCUUCUGCUGUAGGGCGGCGACUGCACAGGCAAUAUUCGCCUUCUGGUGUGGUUCAAUGUUUAGGCAUUUGAAUAUCUUCGCCAGCUCAGGGAAUUCUUCCAUGAUGGAUUCUGGGUUGGUGAUGAUGAGCGGUGUUUGCGUUUCCCAUCCAAUUCCCUCAAGGGUAGUUAGAACAGCCGGCUCAUUUGUCCCAUCAAUGACACAGGGAGUCCCGGGUUUCAUAAUACCCGCCUUCUCCCGCGCGAUCUCCUGAAGGGUAUUGCCCAGGAUCGCUUGGUGGUCAUGGCCAAUCUGAGCAAUGAUAGACACAAGAACAUUACUUUUAUUCAAGAUAUUUGUCGCAUCCAGGCGGCCGCCCAUACCCACCUCAACGAUCCCAACAUCGACAUUUUCAUGUGUGAAGAUUUCAAAUGCAGUGGUGGUGAGCAGCUCAAACUCAGUUGCACCAAUUCCUAGUGAUUGAUUGCGGAGUUUGACAUUGUGUUCUAUCUGGCGGAAGAGAGGUUCGUGGACCACACAGUUGUCGAUUGUUAUACAAUCCCACCGGUCGAUGAGGUGCGGGGAGGUGAAGGAGCCGCACCGCACACCAGCU
rnacentral:sRNA from 2 species